GUGGCGGCGGCUGGUGCAGCACAAUAACAACAGCAACAACUGGCGCUGCAUCGGCGAGCAGUGGCCGCUUUGCAACCAUAAUGGGCGCAGUCAAAUCUCGGCCCAUCACCAGUGCCGACGUGGACCGACAGGAGGAUCAACGUCAGCAGCUGCCGCCCUUGCACCAGCAUCAGCACCAGAACACGAACUCCAUGCAGCGCAAUGGCCAUCACAGUGCGACGCUCCAGAAGCAGGAUCUGCGCUACGACAUUGGCUCCAGCUCCCAGUAUCAUCAUGUGAGGCAGCCGAGCGUGCGCAGUCGCAGCCAGCAGCCCAUGCCCACCACGGAUGAGCUGGAUCGUCGCUUUGCCAAAGUCUUGGCUUCGAUGGAUCUGCCACCGGACAAAGCAAAGCUGUUGCGUAACUACGAUGACGAGAAGAAGUGGGACAUGAUAUGCGAUCAAGAAAUGGUGCAGGCGAAGGACCCUCCCUCCCAUUAUUUGAGCAAGCUGCGAACCUACUUGGAUCCAAAGGCGUCGCGCAGUCAUCGGCUUUACCUCUUCUACUUUCUUUGUCAGAAACGUAAGAUGGUCGGGGAAUCGACGUCGACACAGGUGCUGCGGGAUCUAGAGAUCUCGCUGCGCACCAACCAUAUCGAAUGGGUCAAAGAGUUCCUGGACGACACCAACCAGGGCCUAGAUGCUCUCGUUGAUUAUCUCAGCUUUCGGCUGCAGAUGAUGCGACACGAACAGCGUCUGCAGGGCGCUCUGUGUGCGUCCGAGGAACGUUUGAAUUUGAUCAAUGGCCUAGAUGCCAGCGAGGUGGUGUUGAACAACAGCUCGAUGAGUCCUGGCGGUGGGGCGAACAAUGCCAAUCUGACAAACGGCUCUCUAAUGCUAGACGGCUCCCGACAGCAGUCGGGCACCCACAGCAAUCAUUCGCAUUCCUACAGCUUUGUGCGACCCACGAUUGCCGAGGUGCUAGACAGCCCCAGCCUGAAGCGGCGAUCGCGUCACAUCGCCAAACUGAAUAUGGGCGCUGCCACGGACGAUAUACACGUGUCCAUAAUGUGCCUGCGAGCGAUCAUGAACAACAAGUACGGCUUUAAUAUGGUCAUCCAGCAUCGCGAGGCGAUAAACUGCAUUGCUCUGAGUCUAAUACACAAGUCGCUGCGCACCAAGGCGCUGGUGCUGGAGCUGCUGGCGGCGAUAUGUCUGGUCAAGGGCGGGCACGAGAUCAUUUUGAGUUCCUUCGAUAACUUCAAGGAUGUGUGCCAAGAGCAGCGGCGCUUCCAGACGCUCAUGGAGUACUUCAUGAACUUCGAGGCCUUUAACAUUGACUUUAUGGUUGCCUGCAUGCAGUUCAUGAACAUUGUGGUUCACUCUGUGGAGGACAUGAACUACCGCGUCCACUUGCAGUACGAGUUUACGGCUCUGGGCUUGGAUAAGUAUUUGGAGCGCAUACGGCUAACCGAGUCUGAAGAGCUGAAGGUGCAGAUAUCCGCCUACUUGGACAAUGUCUUUGAUGUGGCUGCAUUGAUGGAGGACUCGGAAACCAAGACGUCGGCACUGGAGCGUGUGCAGGAGCUUGAGGAUCAGCUGGAGCGCGAGAUAGAUCGCAACUCAGAGUUCUUAUACAAAUUCGCCGAGCUAGAGACGGAGAACCAAACACUGAAAGCGGAGCGUGACCAGUUGGCGAUGCUGCGCCAGCAGUCGGAGGAGCAGCUCAAUGCACUCCAGCGCAUGCUGCAGCAGAACGAGCAGGAGCUCAAGAAACGUGAUACACUGCUACACAAUAAGAAUCUGGAGCUGCAAACACUUUCCCGUUCACUGCCUCGAUCCGCUUCCAGCGGCGAUGGCUCCUUGGUGAACGGCAGUCUGCUGACGUGCUCAGCGAAUGGUGCAGUGUCACCACCACCUCCACCACCGCCGCCCAUGCCAGCAGCAGCAGCGCCACCACCGCCGCCUCCUCCAGCGCCUCCUGCGCCGCCACCGCCGCCCAUGAUGCAGGGUCUGACUCCACUGGGCAGUCCGAACGGUAGCGUCACCUCAACAGUUCCCUCCCCGCCUCAUGCGCCGCCCAUGCUCAGCUCGUUCCAGCCUCCGCCACCACCAGUUGCUGGUUUCAUGCCAGCUCCAGAUGGUGCCAUGACCAUCAAACGCAAGGUGCCCACCAAAUACAAGCUGCCAACGCUUAACUGGAUAGCGCUGAAGCCGAAUCAGGUUCGCGGCACCAUAUUCAAUGAGCUGGACGACGAGAAGAUCUUCAAGCAAAUCGACUUUAACGAAUUCGAAGAACGCUUCAAAAUCGGCAUCGGUGGCCCACUCCACAAUGGCAGCAAUGGCAGCGAGGUGGAUGGCUCUCUCUCAACCUAUCCCAGUAAACGUUUCAAGAAGCCCGAUAAUAUCUCGCUGCUGGAACACACGAGGUUAAGAAACAUAGCAAUCUCUCGUCGUAAAUUGGGCAUGCCCAUUGAUGAUGUUGUUGCGGCCAUACAUAGUUUAGAUUUAAAGAAGUUGUCGCUGGAGAAUGUGGAGCUGCUGCAAAAGAUGGUGCCCACCGAAGCGGAGGUUAAGGCCUACAAGGAAUUCAUAAUUGAACGCAAGGAUCAGCAGCUGCUCACCGAGGAAGACAAGUUUAUGUUGCAAUUGUCGCGCGUUGAACGCAUCUCCUCCAAGCUGGCCAUUAUGAAUUACAUGGGCAACUUUGUCGAUAGUGUGCAUCUCAUCAGUCCGCAAGUUCAGUCGAUCGCCAGCGCCUCGAACUCCCUGAAGCAGUCUCGCAAGUUCAAAGCUGUGCUGGAAAUAGUGUUGGCGUUUGGCAACUAUCUUAAUAGCAACAAGCGCGGACCGGCGUAUGGCUUUAAGCUGCAAUCUCUGGACACAUUGAUUGACACAAAGUCAACUGAUAAGCGGUCUUCGUUGUUGCACUACAUUGUGGCCACGAUAAGGGCCAAAUUUCCGGAGCUUUUGAACUUUGAGUGCGAGCUAUAUGGCACAGAAAAAGCAGCCUCAGUGGCAUUGGAGAACGUUGUGGCCGAUGUGCAGGAGCUGGAUAAGGGCAUGGAGCAGGUGCGCAAGGAAGUCGAGCUGCGUGUGAAGGGCACACAGACACACAUACUGCGGGACUUCCUGAACAAUUCCGAGGACAAGCUGAAGAAGAUUAAGAGCGAUCUGCGGGUGGCACAGGAUGCGUUCAAAGAGUGUGUGGAAUACUUUGGGGACUCGUCACGAAAUGCGGACGCAGCUGCAUUCUUUGCGUUGAUCGUGCGCUUUACACGUGCCUUCAAACAACUCGAUCAGGAGAACGAGCAGCGUCGCCGACUAGAGCAGGCAGCUGCUUUGGCAGCCACGAAGAAGGAGAGCGAUCAGGUUAUGCUGCGCAAUAAGUUCAAUCAGAAAAAGCAACAGCAAAUACAUUGCCUGCUUGACUUUGCCAAGCAGCAUAGCACUGUGGACAUGUCUCCCUAACUGCAUACAAUACUAUUUAUAGUAUAACACCCAAGGCAACAUCCUCAACCUUAGCACGUAUGGGUUAUUUGGCUAACAUACUCUAGUAAUACACCAUUUGGGGCGGGCGGCUGUGGGGCGCGGGUUUGAAUUGGGCCAACAACCUAGACCUAAACCCAAGCAACCAACCACCAAUAGCAUCUCCACACCACAACCACAACCACCACCACCACAACCAUCCACUAGCUUCUAAUCGAGUACUUUGGGGGCGCAUUUGACGGACGUUGUUUGUGUUUAUAUCCUAGUGAUGCCGUCAUCAAUGAGCUGAAGAGCAAGACGCACUCGGUGCGCGAGAAGAAGCUGCUG
rnacentral:misc_RNA from 1 species